rnacentral:rRNA from 1 species
UAGGGAAUCUUCCGCAAUGGGCGAAAGCCUGACGGAGCAACGCCGCGUGAGUGAUGAAGGUCUUCGGAUCGUAAAACUCUGUUAUUAGGGAAGAACAAAUGUGUAAGUAACUAUGCACGUCUUGACGGUACCUAAUCAGAAAGCCACGGCUAACUACGUGCCAGCAGCCGCGGUAAUACGUAGGUGGCAAGCGUUAUCCGGAAUUAUUGGGCGUAAAGCGCGCGUAGGCGGUUUUUUAAGUCUGAUGUGAAAGCCCACGGCUCAACCGUGGGGGGUCAUUGGAAACUGGAAAACUUGAGUGCAGAAGAGGAAAGUGGAAUUCCAUGUGUAGCGGUGAAAUGCGCAGAGAUAUGGGGGAACACCAGUGGCGAAGGCGACUUUCUGGUCUGUAACUGACGCUGAUGUGCGAAAGCGUGGGGAUCAAACAGG